AUUGAACGCUGGCGGCAGGCCUAACACAUGCAAGUCGAGCGGAUGAAGGGAGCUUGCUCCUCGCUUCAGCGGCGGACGGGUGAGUAAUGCCUAGGAAUCUGCCUGGUCGUGGGGGAUAACGUCCGUAAACGGGCGCUGAUACCGCAUACGUCCUGAGGGUGAAAGUGGUGGAUCUUUGGACCUCACGCUAUCAGAUGAGCCUAGGUCGUAUUAGCUAGUUGGUGGGGUAAAGGCCUACCAAGGCGACGAUCCGUAACUGGUCUGAGAGGAUGAUCUGUCACACUGGAACUGAGACACGGUCCAGACUCCUACGGGAGGCAGCAGUGGGGAAUAUUGGGCAAUGGGCGAAAGCCUGAUCCAGCCAUGCCGCGUGUGUGAAGAAGGUCUUCGGAUUGUAAAGCACUUUUAGUUGGGAGGAAGGGCAGUAAGUUAAUACCUUGCUGUUUUGACGGUACCAACAGAAUAAGCACCGGCUAACUUCGUG
rnacentral:rRNA from 1 species